GUUGAAUUGAGAAGUGAAUAACUUUGCUUUGCUUUUAGUAGCUAAAAUUUGGCCUUGACUUAAUGUUUCUUACGUAGGUAAAAGCACCGGAAUUUCCUUCUCCGCCAAGUCCUACCUUAAUCUGCCACAAUCCAAUCUAACUAUUUCCUACUUUUAUCUUAUCACUAUAAUUCAGGCUUGACAUAAAAAACCAUAUUUCCAUAAAAAACCAUAUUAACGAGGUGUUGCGUUUAACGAGCUCAGUUUACUGGCAAAACAAAACACCCGACUUGGGAUAAUUUGGCUGUGAAAUUGAUUCACAGCCGCUUUAUUUAAAAUCUCGUCAUUUAAUUAGAAAU
rnacentral:lncRNA from 1 species